UUUAAGUGAAGAGUUUGAUCCUGGCUCAGAGUGAACGCUGGCGGUAGGCCUAACACAUGCAAGUCGAACGGCAGCACAGGAGAGCUUGCUCUCUGGGUGGCGAGUGGCGGACGGGUGAGGAAUACAUCGGAAUCUACUCUGUCGUGGGGGAUAACGUAGGGAAACUUACGCUAAUACCGCAUACGACCUACGGGUGAAAGC
rnacentral:rRNA from 1 species